CGUUUCCCAGAAGUAACACCGGUGCCCGGGAUGGGGUGCAGGCUGUUCACCGUCCCCGCGCGCAUCCCGUGCUGCCCUCAUCCCUCCCCAGCCUCUGAAACCCGGUCUGGAAUCUUCUCUGAAGUCUUGAGUACCGGGGGGUGCUGGGCAGGCAGGUCGAGAUGGCUGGGGGCAUUGUAUCCCUGGGCAGCCCGAGAUUCAAAAAUGCAGCCAAAUAGAGGCGGUCGUUCCACGUGCCGGAAAACAUCGUGAAGGUCAUUGUAGCCCCAACUAUUAGUCGUGGUGUCACUCAUCAUUUCACAUUUGCUGUGUCGUAUCUAAGGAUUACUGUGUUGAGUGCUUCCCUACCAUUAAAGUACCUGCGACUUGUUUAUGGUUAUCUAUUUAAGAGACUCCAAAAGUCCGGGAGGUGAUGGCUCAUGCCUUUAAUCCCAGCACUCGGGAGGCAGAGUUGCUUCCAGGAAGGGUGUUUUAUCACAGCAACAAAAAUGAAAGUGUACUGGCGUCCUCAAGAGUCCCCAGAGGAGGAGCGCUAAAGGGAGGAAGUGGAAAGAGGCUGAUUCCACGGAGGCUGCUCCUCUACGUAACCUGCACCCGCUGCUUCAAGAUUAUAAUCCACCCUGAGCAUAAACUAGUGUUAAGGAAAAGGAAAUUCUUCAUCAUGUGCUCUCAGGACGCAUUGAGAGUUCAGACGCCAGCAGGCAAGACUAACGCCAUUUUAGACGGGACACCAUCUUGAGAAGCUGCUGACUGGACCCUGAACCCAGUUCCCGGGGACAAAAAAAAAAAAAAAACAGCUCAAGGUCGCUCCAGGACCCCCACAUCCUGCUGAAUCAGCCUGACACUGAGGAAACAGACAUCUUAUCAUGGUCAUCAGAUAUCCCAAUAGAUUACCAGACGCUCUAACAGAAAUUACUUAACCCCAGGGCUAAUCGACCCAGGAAGCAUCCCUACCCUGAAUGCCAAGGCUUGCAGUUUUCCCUUUAUAAGCUCACUCCCCUGAAGGCUACUCGCACCUGCUGAGCAUUGGAGUGCUGCUGGGCACCCAAACUCAAGUUCAUUUUUAAAAAUAAACUCCUGUGUGUUUGCAUCGGUA